AAACUAUCCAUCCAGCUGUCCGUUUGCCAAGAUGUGCUUGUCGGCGGUUAACGUGAUCGGCGUGAAGUGCGGUUGUAUAUUUAGUUCAAAGCCGGGCAAAGUUUUAAAGCACUCUCCAUAUUCAUAACGCUCUCGAAAACAAAGUGAAGCCCUUUUUGGGACGGAAAGUUGAAGUGAGAUUUAUGCAGAUGAACCGACAAGAGAAACAACGUCCCCUCGAAUCGAGCUUUUCUGCCAGAGAUGGAUAAGGGAGGUGCAUGCUGGGGGAGCUGAAAAUCUGUCCGUGUUUGCCUUUUGUUGUUUGAAUUUUAAGCGCAAUGGGAAAUGAAUAUUGAACUGAAUCUAAUUAAUCUUGACGUAUGAUGACUAUUCUGCUGUUGAAUUGCAUUAAUACGCUUAGUCAAUAGCUUCCGUGAAUGAAAGCUUAAUUGGAAAUAUUUCCAACAGAGCUAUUGUCGCACAACGUUGGCUUUCUACUGCUGUGUGGAGGGGUGCUUGCCUUGUGUGUGAGGUCCAUAGCCAAAGUGACCACACGCUUCCCCAUGGGGAAAGCAGGCGCGAGAAGUCAAAGUAGGAACCAUCAACAGCCCGGGGACGAUGGUGGGAAGCAUUUUAAUGCUUUUUCGCUUGAUGUUUUUAAUUUCCCUGAUUCAUGAGCUUUCUGGUGGCGAAGCCUGUAUGAAACGGAUGAUGGCGGUUUAGUCGACACCAACCGCCCACCGCCAUGUCACGAUGGUACCGCAAACGGUUGUAGCGCGAUAGGGACGAAAAAAUAUGCGAGUCAUUUUUAUUUUAAUUAAAAGCAAUUCCGAGCCUCCAGCUUCCUAGCAUAAAUUUGAAAUUUGAAACGACUUGGCAAGAUUAGAAUUCGGGUAGAUGAUGAAAAUGCUCGGAGCUUAAGAAUAUAAUUUUCCAUUCUUAAAACUG